rnacentral:snoRNA from 1 species
CUUGAAGAUGAGAACUUUCUUUAUUAGCUCUAGAUCAGUAGUCGCUUCGGCGACGGUGAGCGACAUAUGCAUGUAUUACCUGAAAG